GCUAACUUAGCUUAACCCUAAAGCAUUAGUUUGUGACACUAAAGACAGAGAUACUAAAACCUCUAGAUAGCC
rnacentral:tRNA from 1 species